GUAGGGAUAGGUUAGGGUAGGUUUCGGAAGGUUAGGGCAGGUAAGCAUAGGUUAGGGUAUGGUAGAGAAGGAUUGGGUGGGAUAGCUUAGGUUAGGGUAAGUUAAGGAAGGGAUGGUCGGUAUAGGCUAUGUUAGGUUUGGGUAGGUUAGGGAAGGGAUGAUUGGGAUAGCUUAGGUUAGGCUACAUUAGGUUUUGUUAGGCUAGGGUAGGUUAGCACAGGUUAGGGUAAGUUAGAGAAGGGUUGGGAUAGCUUAGGUUAGGCUACAUUAGGUUUUGUUAGGCUAGGGUAGGUUAGCACAGGUAAGGUAGAGAAGGAUUGGUUGGGAUAGCUUAUGUUAGGGUACGUUCGGAUAGCUUAGGUUAGCACAGGUUAGGGUAAGUUAGAGAAGGGUUGGUUGGGAUAGCUUAGUUGUUGCAUCUAACCUGACAUUACUUAACCAUAUCAUUUCACCCUUAUCAAUCACCCGCUCAAGGGCAAUGUGACGGAGUUGAUGUCUCCCGAAAUUGACCUCUCUUUCGGCCACCUCUUUGGAUUCUUUUUAGGAGCAGCGAGUAGCAGGCUUUUUUAUUAUUGUUUCCCUUUUUUUUGUGCCCUUGAGCUGUCUCCUAAACAGACCCUCCCCGGGGGCUUCGUGGUGCAGUGGUUAGCACACUCAGCUCACAACCGAGAGAGCCCGGGUUCGAUUCCUGGGCAGAUUGGAAAACUUUGGGCGGCUUUUCCGAUACCCUAUGCCCGUCCACCCAGCAGUGAAUGGGUACCAGGUAUUAAUCGGGGGUUGUGUCCUGUCGCCUGGGGUCUGUUUCCUUCUAUAAUUCCUUCCUCCUCCUGUCUCUCUCCGGCAUAUGACCAUAGAUGUUGCGCCGACUAAACAAAACUUUCCAAAUUUUCCUGAC